rnacentral:lncRNA from 1 species
CAUCUUUGGAUUUGUGAUGGGUCUGGAAGAAAAUCCUGGGCACUUAGUAAGAACACACCAACCCUUGAGACUUCUUCUAAGAUGAGGUCAGUUCCUUGGGCAAAGGGUGAGGGACGUGGUAAUCAUGCGAGGGGAAGAAUGCCCCCUGGACCUGGACCUGGACCUGGACCUGGACCUGGACCUGGACCUGGCCCAGGCCACAGGCUGGGAUUCUGCAGAGGCUCUAACUCGGGCCACUCAGCUGUCGGCGGCCCGGAGGAAUCUGCUUUGUUAUGGCUUUCAGGGUAGGCUGAUGUUGUCUUUUUCCACACAGCAUAUACAGGGUAAUUGGUACUCUGAGUCCAUCACUAUGUGAGGUAUUCUGAACAUCCUUGAGGAAUACCAAAAAAGGCAAUAACAACAAACUCACAAUCCAAUUGGGAGGAUAAGAUCUACAUCCUUGAAGUGACUCUGUAGGAAACCUAGCCCAUGUAUCAACAAUGAAAGAGUGAAGGAGAACUGGGGAAGAACCUGUGAUUUUACGUCCUUUCCACAUCUUUUUCUGAAACAAGCGCUUCUCUUUGAAGAAAGACCUCUUGCCCUUGGAGUGUCAAGAUAAGAAAACUUUCAGCAACUUCCCUUGGAAACUACAAAACACCCAUCAGCACCCAGGAUCUAAGUACAGUCGCUCCCCAGCUGCUGGCCCCUCUGAAUAGCUUUUAUGGUUCAAUGAGGGGUGGUGACAGGGCCAUGUCACUACCGUAGGGUGUGCUAUUUCUUUCAUGUUCCUGGGAUCUGACAAGAGCCUUCCACAACCUGUUUCUUUACAACACACAGAAUGAGAGAUUAAAGACCAAUACCAGACUCAAAGCAGGGGCUGGGACUGGCAACGGCUUCUCACCAGAUGUAUUCUCAAUCUUUCGGGGAAAGAAGAGCCACAGACUGCCUGAGCAGAUGCUGUGCAAAAGCUGCUGUGAUGCCUAAAUGAGAUAAUACAUAGAACCAUGGCUGAAUGGAUAUGGGUUUCAUAAAACCACACUAAUUCAGAGCCACUAGUUGGGGGUAAAGGGGAAAGAACACCAAGAAAGGAAACACAAAUUAGUGAAAAGUCUAAAUUAUAGGACUUCUGAUUAAACAUGACAGAUCUAGUCCAGAGACCCCUCUAAAGGGAAAGCAAAGGGAUACAAAUGGCACAAAUCCAAAAGGAUAAAGAGAAGGUGUCAACAAUAUUUUAGAAGCUGAAAAGCAGAUGGACACGUGGCGCUGAAAUGUAAGCCUUGAGGGAGUGGAAGCCACAAAGCAGAAAGCUAAUUAGGAUGGUGGCCUCCACUGCAUUUCAGAAAGAUGGAGGCAGCAAGUAGCUCUGAAGGCCUGGAGCAUAAAGGAGAAACAGAUAGGCCUGGAGUGAGGUGAAAACAGGAAGAUUGGUUAAAAGGCUGCAUGGGAAGCAGUUAGAGCUUCAGGUCCCCUCUCUCAUCCCCAUUCAGUUUUGCUCCUCUCAACAGGAGCCCAGAGUCAGCAGGUCCCCACUUGAUCAUUCCACAGUAAGGCCCCCUCAGCCUCAAACCAAGAGCUCCCAAUUGGCUUUUUAGUGCCUCAUCUUUAAAGAGGAGUAGAACAGAUAGUCAAGAAUCACCAGAUUCUCUGGGGACUGUCUCUAUUCAUGAAAGAAAAAGACCAAAACAAAUAAAUGGAAGAAAGAAACUCAGAAUAGUACUGCUAUAGUACUACUAUAGAAAAAUAGCUUAGAGACAAAAAUAGCUAGACAACAACCAGUCAGAUGGGAGCAGAGGACAUCAAGAGGGAGAAUUUAAUUAGAAACCAAUAAAUUACUCAGUGCAUUUGUA